AAAGGACUUCGACCUAACUUUUGACCUACUGGCCUAAUUUGUAUGAUUUUUGACGUAUGUUUGUAUUUGGAGUAUGCUGAUUCUGAAAAUGUAAAUUUUAUGUGAAUGUGAUGCAUACUUUUAAAGUUAUGAAUAUUGUAUAAAACUGUGUAUUUUCCUGCCUGUGAUAAUUAUAUUAAACCAUUGUGUAAGUUAAUUGUAUCACAGACAGAGAGGAGGAUUUUGUGUGGGCGUGUCUGAGUGUAUUGUACGUGUUUAUUGGUUGUUUUACAAAACCCU